UGCAGCUUUCCUUCACCCCGGCUCUUUUUCUCCUUGUCUUUGGGCCGAUGAACCUGGCGAAGAUCUGACUUGCUGGAUCUCAUUCUGAGACGAAAGGACAUUUAACAUAAAAGAGGCUUCUUGCUGUCCUGGCCUAUACGAGUACACAGCUCAGGAUAAUCCAGACAAACAGCGCGUAGCAGCCAGCGAAGACCUCGUAGAGUCUUUCUGUCCGACCAGCGUCGCAGGUCCAUUAAGGCUGAACAAGGCUCCUGAGAGGGAAAGGAGAAAUGAGAGUUUGUCUGCCUGCAUAUCUGCAGUUCUGUGCUUCUCUGGCAGGAGCAGGUCAGCCAGGACAUCCUUGACCUCCCUUAUCCUCUGUCGGUCACUGGAGUCCACCACAAAGAUGAUCCCAUGGGCUUCUCCGUAGAGGUCCCUCCAGCCUCC